rnacentral:rRNA from 1 species
AUGCACGCUGGCGGCGUGCCUAAUCCAUGCCAGUCGCGCGAACAGACGAGGAGCUUGCUCCUCUGACGUUAGCGGCGGACGGGUGAGUAACACGUGGAUAACCUACCUAUAAGACUGGGAUAACUUCGGGAAACCGGAGCUAAUACCGGAUAACAUGUUGAACCGCAUGGUUCAACAGUGAAAGACGGUCUUGCUGUCACUUAUAGAUGGAUCCGCGCCGCAUUAGCUAGUUGGUAAGGUAACGGCUUACCAAGGCAACGAUGCGUAGCCGACCUGAGAGGGUGAUCGGCCACACUGGAACUGAGACACGGUCCAGACUCCUACGGGAGGCAGCAGUAGGGAAUCUUCCGCAAUGGGCGAAAUCCUGACGGAGCAACGCCGCGUGAGUGAAGAAGGUCUUCGGAUCGUAAAACUCUGUUAUUAGGGAAGAACAAAUGUGUAAGUAACUAUGCACGUCUUGACGGUACCUAAUCAGAAAGCCACGGCUAACUACGUG